AUUGAACGCUGGCGGCAUGCCUUACACAUGCAAGUCGAACGGCAGCACGGGUGCUUGCACCUGGUGGCGAGUGGCGAACGGGUGAGUAAUACAUCGGAACAUGUCCUGUAGUGGGGGAUAGCCCGGCGAAAGCCGGAUUAAUACCGCAUACGAUCUACGGAUGAAAGCGGGGGACCUUCGGUCCUCGCGCUAUAGGGUUGGCCGACGGCUGAUUAGCUAGGUGGUGGGGUAAAGGCCUACCAAAGCGACGACCAGUAGCUGGUCUGAGAGGACGACCAGCCACACUGGGACUGAGACACGGCCCAGACUCCUACGGGAGGCAGCAGUGGGGAAUUUUGGACAAUGGGCGAAAGCCUGAUCCAGCAAUGCCGCGUGUGUGAAGAAGGCCUUCGGGUUGUAAAGCACUUUUGUCCGGAAGGAAAUCCUUGGCCGUAAUACGGUCGGGGGAUGACGGUACCGGAAGAAUAAGCACCGGCUAACUACGUG
rnacentral:rRNA from 1 species